rnacentral:lncRNA from 1 species
UUGCACACAGAAAAGUAGUGGCUCAAAUUAAAUUACGAAACUAUAUGUAUUAUUAAUUACGAUCUAAAUUAAUACUACUAGUAGUAGUAGUUGUUAACUUAUAAAAAGAAAAAAAGAAAAACAAGCUGGAUCGACGAGAAAAGCAAUACGUCUCUCAUGAAUCUUGGUCCAUCGCCUAGUGAAAACAAUUCCAAAAUUUUGAUUUUGAUUUUAAUAUUUUUAUAAAUAAAUAAUGGGUGACCUCUUUUUAAGGGAAACAGAGAAUUGAAUGAACAAAAGAGUGAGAGGGAACAUCAUAUUUAUGUUUCUGAACCGC